GAUGAACGCUAGCGGCAGGCUUAAUACAUGCAAGUCGAGGGACAGCACAGGUAGCAAUACUGGGUGGUAACCGGCAAACGGGUGCGGAACACGUACACAACCUUCCUUUAAGUGGGGGAUAGCCCAGAGAAAUUUGGAUUAAUACACGGUAAUAUAGUUGAAUGGCAUCAUUUGAUUAUUAUAGCUACGGCGCUUAAUGAUGGGUGUGCGGCUGAUUAGAUAGUUGGCGGGGUAACGGCCCACCAAGUCUACGAUCAGUAGCUGAUGUGAAGGGCUGAUCGGCCACACGGGAACUGAGACACGAGCCCCACUCCUACAGGAGGCAGCAGUAAGGAAUAUUGGUCAAUGGACGCAAGUCUGAACCAGCCAUGCCGCGUGAAGGAUUGAGGUCCUCUGGAUUGUAAACUUCUUUUAUUUGGGACGAAAAAGGGCCUUUCUAGGUCAACUGACGGUACCAGUUGAAUAAGCACCGGCUAACUCCGUGCCAGCCGCCGCCGUAACAC
rnacentral:rRNA from 1 species